CGUCCGGCCCGUUAUGUCUGGAUUGUGGCGGAUGUGUGUGAGGAAUGGUUCCAGGGCGAGAGCGAACAGUAGCGGCGAGAGGGGACAUCCCUGUCGCGUGCCGUUGUGUAUGGUAAAGGUCUCAGUCAGUGCCCCGUUAACUAAUACCUGGGCCGUCGGUGCUCGGUAUAGCGCCUCUAUCCAACGUCGAAUGUUGGGACCCAGCCCCAUGUGGGACAGUGUCUCGAAGAGGUAGUCCCAGCUCACUCUAUCGAAGGCCUUCUCUGCGUCCGUGGACAACAAGAGGAGGCCUCCGUCCGUGCCCCCGCCUCCGUGCAUAAGUGUGAGCGCUCUGAUGGUGUUGUCGCGUGCCUCCCGUCCUGUCACAAAUCCCACCUGGUCGGGGUGGACCAGAGACGGGAUAUGUUUGGUGAGUCGCACCGCCAGG